GGGAUUGUGGCUCAGUGGUAGGGUGCUCGCUUAGUACGCGUGAGGCACUGGGUUCCAUCCUCAGCACCA
rnacentral:tRNA from 1 species